rnacentral:rRNA from 1 species
CGAGGCGGAGCAAAUCUCAAAAAGACCGUCCCAGUUCGGAUUGCAGGCUGCAACCCGCCUGCAUGAAGUUGGAAUCGCUAGUAAUCGCGGAUCAGCAUGCCGCGGUGAAUACGUUCCCGGGCCUUGUACACACCGCCCGUCACACCAUGAGAGUCGGGAACACCCGAAGUCCGUAGUCUGACCGCAAGGGGACGCGGCCGAAGGUGGGUUCGAUAAUUGGGGUGAAGUCGUAACAAGGUAAC